rnacentral:rRNA from 1 species
UAACACGUAGGUAACCUGCCCAUGUGCCCGGGAUAACUUCUGGAAACGGAUGCUAAAACCGGAUAGGUAGCAGACAAGCAUUUGACUGCUAUUAAAGUGGCCUUGGCCAUGAACAUGGAUGGACCUGCGGUGCAUUAGCUGGUUGGUGAGGUAACGGCCCACCAAGGCGACGAUGCAUAGCCGGCCUGAGAGGGCGGACGGCCACAUUGGGACUGAGACACGGCCCAAACUCCUACGGGAGGCAGCAGUAGGGAAUUUUCGUCAAUGGGGGGAACCCUGAACGAGCAAUGCCGCGUGAGUGAGGAAGGUCUUCGGAUCGUAAAGCUCUGUUGUAAGAGAAAAACGGCACUCAUAGGGAAUGAUGAGUGAGUGAUGGUAUCUUACCAGAAAGUCACGGCUAACUACGUGCCAGCAGCCGCGGUAAUACGUAGGUGGCGAGCGUUAUCCGGAAUGAUUGGGCGUAAAGGGUGCGUAGGUGGCAGAUCAAGUCUGGAGUAAAAGGUAUGGGCUCAACCCGUACUGGCUCUGGAAACUGAUCAGCUAGAGAACAGAAGAGGACGGCGGAACUCCAUGUGUAGCGGUAAAAUGCGUAGAUAUAUGGAAGAACACCGGUGGCGAAGGCGGCCGUCUGGUCUGGAUUCUGACACUGAAGCACGAAAGCGUGGGGAGCAAAUAGGAUUAGAUACCCUAGUAGUCCACGCCGUAAACGAUGAGAACUAGGUGU